GAUGAACGCUGGCGGCGUGCCUAAUACAUGCAAGUCGAGCGAACAGAUGAGGAGCUUGCUCCUCUGACGUUAGCGGCGGACGGGUGAGUAACACGUGGAUAACCUACCUAUAAGACUGGGAUAACUUCGGGAAACCGGAGCUAAUACCGGAUAAUAUAUUGAACCGCAUGGUUCAAUAGUGAAAGACGGUUUUGCUGUCACUUAUAGAUGGAUCCGCGCCGCAUUAGCUAGUUGGUAAGGUAACGGCUUACCAAGGCAACGAUGCGUAGCCGACCUGAGAGGGUGAUCGGCCACACUGGAACUGGGACACGGUCCAGACCCCUACGGGAGGCAGCAGUAGGGAAUCUUCCGCAAUGGGCGAAAGCCUGACGGAGCAACGCCGCGUGAGUGAUGAAGGUCUUCGGAUCGUAAAACUCUGUUAUUAGGGAAGAACAAAUGUGUAAGUAACUAUGCACGUCUUGACGGUACCUAAUCAGAAAGCCACGGCUAACUACGUG
rnacentral:rRNA from 1 species